rnacentral:rRNA from 1 species
GACAGAGGGUGCAAACGUUGCUCGGAAUUACUGGGCGUAAAGCGCGUGUAGGCGGAUCGGUGUGUCAGGUGUGAAAUCCCUGGGCUCAACCCAGGAACUGCAUUUGAAACUACCGAUCUCGAGUGGUGGAGAGGGAAGUGGAAUUCCUGGUGUAGAGGUGAAAUUCGUAGAUAUCAGGAGGAACACCAGUGGCGAAGGCGGCUUCCUGGACACCAACUGACGCUGAGACGCGAAAGCGUGGGGAGCAAACAGG